UCGGGAAUUUUGGGCAAUGGGCGAAAGCCUGACCCAGCAACGCCGCAUGAGGGAUGAAGUAUUUCGGUAUGUAAACCUCGAAAGAAUGGGAAGAAUAAAUGACGGUACCAUUUAUAAGCUCCGGCUAACUACGUGCCAGCAGCCGCGGUAAUACGUAGGGAGCAAGCGUUGUUCGGAUUUACUGGGCGUAAAGGGCGCGUAGGCGGCGCGGUAAGUCACUUGUGAAAUCUCUGAGCUUAACUCAGAACGGCCAAGUGAUACUGCUGUGCUAGAGUGCGGAAGAGGCAACCGGAAUUCUUGGUGUAGCGGUGAAAUGCGUAGAUAUCAAGAGGAGCUCCUGAGGCGAAGGCGGGUUGCUGGGCCGACACUGACGCUGAUGCGCGAAAGCCAGGGGAGCAAACG
rnacentral:rRNA from 1 species